UACAGAGGUGGCAAGCGUUGUUCGGAAUUACUGGGCGUAAAGGGCGCGUAGGCGGCCUUCUAAGUCAGACGUGAAAUCCCCCGGCUUAACCUGGGAACUGCGUCUGAUACUGGGAGGCUAGAGUAUGGGAGAGGGAUGUAGAAUUCCAGGUGUAGCGGUGAAAUGCGUAGAUAUCUGGAGGAAUACCGGUGGCGAAGGCGGGUCUCUGGGCAACUACUGACGCUGAGGAGCGAAAGCGUGGGGAGCGAACAGG
rnacentral:rRNA from 1 species